CUACACCUGUAGUCCUGUGAACGAUGCCAUGGAUCCCAAUUCUCUGAUGCUAUCUCUGGCUGUGUUUGUCAUCAUUGUGACCAGGUGUUCCUGUCUGACCCUCCGCCAACCGGCAGCCUGUGGACCUGGCUGGAGUGUGAAGCCAUCGUCAACAGGGGGCAGCAGAGUCAAGGCCUGGGCUUCACUGAGUCCUGAGGCUGUCAGCCGGCCUCAUUCCAGGCCUGGCGCUGUUCUCCCCUCCCUGGGGAGUCCCCGAGGGUAGGGACGCUGCUCCUGUCUCGGUGGCACCAUGGGCAAAUCCCUUUCUUGUGCUUCUUAGGGCUCUGUUUCCCCAUUUGGCCAGGGGGUGAAGGCUGGAUUUGCUUCUGCCCUGGCCUCAGAGGCUGGAGUUCCCCAUGGGCUCCCUGGAUUUAAACCUCAGCUUCCUUUCCUUUACUGGGGAGACUCGGCCAGCUCUGGAGGGGACCCCAGCCCUUCCACUGUGGUGUCCUUCAGAGGUCUCAGCGCUGGUGGGGGACAUGGCUGGGAGGGGCUGAGCCAGCCACCCACGGGUUUCAGCUUUAGGGUACAGGGUGGACAUCUGUCUGAUUCCUGUAUGACCAAGCCCAGUGAGUGUUUGUUGACUGGCCAUAUGACCAAGUGAUGGCAAGGUGGAGCCCAUAGUCCAUUGUAACUGGCUCUCCAUGGCAACUCUGGAGCCAGAGCCUCUUCAGAAAAAUAAAGUCCUCCUUCAUGAUCACUUAGCU
rnacentral:lncRNA from 1 species